rnacentral:rRNA from 1 species
CAAAAACAUGUCCUUUUGAAUAUUAAUAGAAGUUUUAACUUGCCCGGUGAUCUAUUUUAACGGCCGCGGUAUAUUGACCGCGGCCAAAGGUAGCAUAAUCAUUAUUUUUUUAAAGGGGGGGGGGAAUGAAGGUUUUGCCGAAGUAUGGCCUUUUUCUUUUUAUUUGAAUUUGAAAUUUAAUUUUUUAGUCAAAAGGCUUAAAUUUAAUUGGAAGACGAGAAGACCCUAUAGAGCUUUAUAUUAAUUAUUUUAUUUUUAUAUAAAAAAUUUUAGAUAAAAAUAUUUAUUAUUUUGUUGGGGGGACAAGAAAAUAUAAUAAACUUUUUUAAUUAUUUAACAUUAAUAUAUGAUUAUUUGAUCCAUUAUUAUUGAUUAUUAGAUUAAGUUACCUUAGGGAUAACAGCGUAAUCCUCCCCCAGAGUUCAUAUUUACGGGUAGGGCUUGCGACCUCGAUGUCGGAUUAAGAUAAUA